UACGUAGGGCGCAAGCGUUGUCCGGAAUUAUUGGGCGUAAAGAGCUCGUAGGCGGCUUGUCACGUCGGAUGUGAAAGCCCGAGGCUUAACCUCGGGUCUGCAUUCGAUACGGGCUAGCUAGAGUGUGGUAGGGGAGAUCGGAAUUCCUGGUGUAGCGGUGAAAUACGCAGAUAUCAGGAGGAACACCGGUGGCGAAGGCGGAUCUCUAGUACGGUACUGACGCUGAGACGCGAAAGCGUGGGGAGCGAACAGG
rnacentral:rRNA from 1 species